CAGGAUGAGUCACUGAAGGUGCCAUGGAGA
rnacentral:piRNA from 1 species